rnacentral:rRNA from 1 species
GCCUCCGGCCGUACUAUCCUGAAAGCACCCCAUCUCAUCUGAACUCAGAAGUUAAGCAGGGUUGGGCCUGUUUAGUGUUUGGAUGGGAGACAAGUGCAAGGAAAGGUGCUUAGACC